GAUGAACGCUGGCGGCGUGCCUAAUACAUGGAAGUCGAGCGAACAGACGAGGAGCUUGCUCCUCUGACGUUAGCGGCGGACGGGUGAGUAACACGUGGAUAACCUACCUAUAAGACUGGGAUAACUUCGGGAAACCGGAGCUAAUACCGGAUAACAUGUUGAACCGCAUGGUUCAACAGUGAAAGACGGUCUUGCUGUCACUUAUAGAUGGAUCCGCGCCGCAUUAGCUAGUUGGUAAGGUAACGGCUUACCAAGGCAACGAUGCGUAGCCGACCUGAGAGGGUGAUCGGCCACACUGGAACUGAGACACGGUCCAGACUCCUACGGGAGGCAGCAGUAGGGAAUCUUCCGCAAUGGGCGAAAGCCUGACGGAGCAACGCCGCGUGAGUGAAGAAGGUCUUCGGAUCGUAAAACUCUGUUAUUAGGGAAGAACAAAUGUGUAAGUAACUAUGCACGUCUUGACGGUACCUAAUCAGAAAGCCACGGCUAACUACGUG
rnacentral:rRNA from 1 species